AUUUAAUUUUUCCCGCUCAAUUGAUAAACACUACGAUCGGAUAAACACGGUGAUCCAUUUUUUAAUUCCUGACCCGAUUUUAUAAUAAAACGGACCUUUUACAAGCUUCAUUCUGAAACCCUAGAGCCAUCACCGUAGAUUCGUAUGUGCUUUCAUCUCGAAUCUCUCUUACCUAAAAUCCCAAUGAAGGCUUCUCUUCUUGGGUCCUGAUUUUUGUGGUAUUACAAACAAAGUCAUUGAUAUGAGGAUUUGCAGGUGGUGAACCCUAAACUGUUCCUUCAUUUGCGAUGCCUGUGUCACCUCCUCCUUGACAAGUGAAUCCUAAAAUGAUCCCCUAAACCCUCUCAUCCAGGUAUUUAAUCACUAUUCUUCUGUUCAAUAUGAAGAUGGAAUUGGCUAUCGAAUUUAAACUAGGCUACUGCUGCAACAAAAGCUAUCGGGACAAAAGGAUAGGUGGAAAUGGAAUAGUUGAAAAGAACAAGACUUCACUGUGAAGGAGGUGAUACCAUAACAUGGAAUGAUUUCUGGUGGAACAAAAUAGUUACUCCUAAGAUAAAUUUGUUUAUAUGGCGCGCAAGGGAAGGAAAGAUACCAUCGCCAGCAACAUUAAUGAACAGGGGUGUACCGUUACAAGAUGUAAACUGAAACAUGUGUGGAGUGUCCGUGGAGGAUUCAGAACAUAUAUUAGCAAGAUGUCAGAUCGCAAAAGGGAUUUGGAGGCAGGUUCUCUGGUGGACAAUGCAGCCAAAGACCAACAGUUGGAUUCAGUCAAAGAAACAAUGCAGAGUAUAAAUAAUAUGUAGGUAUUGGCUAACCGGAAAAAAAUAAAACAUGUUGUAUUCUCGCAAACACUACGGAGCAUCUGGAAUGCAAAGAACAAGAAAAUAUUUUGACAAAAGCCGAUUAACGAGUACAAAGUCGUCGAAGAAAUAAAGGAAAGAUCGUUUGAAUGGAUAUCGAAGAAAUCGAGGCAUUCAAGUAUAACUUGGAGUAAAUGGAGAAUGUUUAGUAUUAAUGUUUAGAGGUAUUGUUGUUUCUUGGUUCAUGUACUGUGGCCUUCAUAGCACCUUGCUUGGAUGGCUGUAUGUUGAAGUAAUAAAAUGUUCCAGUUGCCAGUCAAAAAAAAAAAAAAAAAA